AGUGAACGCUGGCGGUAGGCCUAACACAUGCAAGUCGAACGGCAGCACAGUAAGAGCUUGCUCUUACGGGUGGCGAGUGGCGGACGGGUGAGGAAUACAUCGGAAUCUACUUUUUCGUGGGGGAUAACGUAGGGAAACUUACGCUAAUACCGCAUACGACCUACGGGUGAAAGCAGGGGAUCUUCGGACCUUGCGCGAUUGAAUGAGCCGAUGUCGGAUUAGCUAGUUGGCGGGGUAAAGGCCCACCAAUGCGACGAUCCGUAGCUGGUCUGAGAGGAUGAUCAGCCACACUGGAACUGAGACUCGGUCCAGACUCCUACGGGAGGCAGCAGUGGGGAAUAUUGGACAAUGGGCGCAAGCCUGAUCCAGCCAUACCGCGUGGGUGAAGAAGGCCUUCGGGUUGUAAAGCCCUUUUGUUGGGAAAGAAAAGCAGCAGGUUAAUACCCCGCUGUUCUGACGGUACCCAAAGAAUAAGCACCGGCUAACUUCGUG
rnacentral:rRNA from 1 species